rnacentral:pre_miRNA from 13 species
GGCCGCACGGGAUAAUCGAUUAUCCCGUGCGGUCCGCUUAGGACAACCGCACGGGAUAAUCCUAUUAUCGCGUGCGGUU